rnacentral:rRNA from 1 species
GAUGAACGCUGGCGGCGUGCCUAAUACAUGCAAGUAGAACGCUGAAGGAGGAGCUUGCUCUUCUGGAUGAGUUGCGAACGGGUGAGUAACGCGUAGGUAACCUGCCUGGUAGCGGGGGAUAACUAUUGGAAACGAUAGCUAAUACCGCAUGACAACAGAUCUUGCAUGAUAACUGUUUAAAAGUCGCAACUGCUCCACUACCAGAUGGCCCUGCGUUGUAUUAGCUAGUUGGUGAGGUAACAGCUCACCAAGGCGACGAUACAUAGCCGACCUGAGAGGGUGGUCGACCCAACCGGGACUGGGACACCGCCCAGACCCCUACGGGAGGCAGCAGUAGGGGAUCUUCGGCAAUGGACGGAAGUCUGACCGAGCAACGCCGGGGGAGGGGAGAAGGUUUUCGGAUCGUAAAGCUCUGUUGUAAGGGAAGAACGAGUGUGAGAGUGGAAAGUUCACGCUGUGACGGUACCUUACCAGAAAGCGACGGCUAACUACGUG